rnacentral:rRNA from 1 species
GACGAACGCUGGCGGCGUGCUUAACACAUGCAAGUCGAACGGAAAGGCCCUGCUUUUGUGGGGUGCUCGAGUGGCGAACGGGUGAGUAACACGUGAGUAACCUGCCCUUGACUUUGGGAUAACUUCAGGAAACUGGGGCUAAUACCGGAUAGGAGCUCCUGCUGCAUGGUGGGGGUUGGAAAGUUUCGGCGGUUGGGGAUGGACUCGCGGCUUAUCAGCUUGUUGGUGGGGUAGUGGCUUACCCAGGCUUUGACGGGUCGCCGGCCUGAGAGGGUGACCGGCCACAUUGGGACUGAGAUACGGCCCAGACUCCUACGGGAGGCAGCAGUGGGGAAUAUUGCACAAUGGGCGGAAGCCUGAUGCAGCAACGCCGCGUGCGGGAUGACGGCCUUCGGGUUGUAAACCGCUUUCGCCUGUGACGAAGCGUGAGUGACGGUAAUGGGUAAAGAAGCACCGGCUAACUACGUG